GGGAAAGGAGGAGAAGGGAAAGAGGAAACUUCCCUGAUCAUGGUGGCAGUUGCCAAUUUUGGACUUUCAGGGAGAGGUAUUCCACCAUUGGAUUCAGCACGGAAGUAAUGAGGAAGAACUGCUUCAGUCUCCAAAUUUGAUCAAGCAGGGAGAUGUCCUCCACAACUAGAUCUAAGAAGCAGUGAUUGUUGAUGAGCGUGUUCAGCUGGUGCCUAAUAAUCUUCAAACUGACGGCACCUUUGUCUUCCACCAUGGGUGUGUGUUGGUCAAAUUCAUAUGUACCUCCUGCAACAUGGUUAAUGCAAUAUGGUUCCACAGAAAUGACAUGCAGGGGUAUAACACCCAAUCCCAGUGUAACAGGCUGAACUUCAAAUAUGCCCUCAGAACAUGAAUCAAUUUCAAAAGUAGAAACAAUAUCAACAACAGGCUCAGAUUCAUGUUCAGUGCAUGGAGAAAAAACAUUUAGACAAGAUGGAAAAAGUUAUUUCUCAUCAUGCAGAGAGGGAGAAUUAAA
rnacentral:lncRNA from 1 species